rnacentral:lncRNA from 1 species
AAUGAGUAAACAGUAGUGACUAACAUCAGUGGGCCAGGGCUUUGCAAGAAUUUGUUUAAAAUAUAGGAGGAGACCUAUAAGAGUUAAUUGCUUAUUCUAAAGCAUGCAAUUUCUUUGAUCUGACACUAACCUAUAUCUCAACUUCAUCUUCUAUUCAUUAUGGGCCAGAGCCUGUCUUAAACUCCUUGUAUCAUUUAAUUCUUUCAGCAAUCAUUUGUAGUAGUUAUUAAUAUUAUUCCCAUUUUAGGGAUGAGAAAUCUGAACUACCAGAGAGAGGUAAGUGAUUUACUUAAGUUGAUACAACCAGUAAAUAGUAGAGAUGGAAUUUGAACUCAUCCAGUCUGGGUCAUGAUCCUCACCCUUGACUCUAGAAUUGACAAUGAUAUGAUAGGAGGUUAGAUAGAGAUACUAGAGGGCAGAUACUAUGUAUGCAUCAUCUUAUUUAGUACUGAUACUAACUCUUUAAUUUACUUACUAUUAUUAACCCAAUUUUAUACAUGUAAUGAAAUGUCCAAGGAAAGAUUAGUAGUAAUUGGCACAUACCAGAAGAAUCUACCUCUAAAAUUCAAACCAGUAUAUCGCUCAAGUUGAGAUGUGCCAAUGUAGAUAUCCAAAAAUCCCUUCAAGCCCUGAAAUUCACUGAUUUUUAAACGGGAGUUUCUGAUUUCUGUAGCUGGUAGGGGGUAGACUCAUAUUGAUGACAAGUUUAGAAAUGUCCUAAAGCCAUACACAGAAAUUCAAGGAUCAGCAUUUCUAUCCCACUUCUGGGCAUUAUGGAAAUUCUCCCUUAUUCUUAUCAGCUUCCCUAUAAUCUUGCUUGAGCUGAGCUUAACGUGAGUGGAUUUCAGCCCGAAGGAAUAUUCUAGCAGGCUGGAGGAGCCUCGUAAAUUUUCAUUCUCUAAGCAAUGUUAGCAUGGAGUCUUAGAACUCAUUACCUCUGAGUAUAUGGCAUCAGUAAUUAAAGAGGUGAAGCCAGAAAACAGAGAAUAUUCACAUUUCCAACAAUUAAAAGCACUCUUUGUUUAACCAUUUGAAUUACAAUCUAAACACCUAUCAUGAGUUCAAUACAAUUCAUAAAUAUUGGGUGCCUCCAAUAGAUCAUACACUGUUCUAGGCUUUGGCAAUAAAAAUAAGAAGCUGUCCUAGAUCUCAAGGAACUAUCAUUUCAAUUGACAGAGAUAUCUAAAUAAAUAAAUUCAUAUUCUUGGUAAUACAUAUAGAGAGACACAUGAGAACUACCCUGAAGGAGAGAAGGUUCACUGUGAAAGGACGCACAAAGCUGGAGAGAAUUGGAGUGGGGGAAGGGGUUGGCAAUAUCUUCCCAGAAGAGCUCACAAAUGAGAUGGGUUUUGAAGACAUGAUGUGAAGACAUACUGAUUUUAGGUAAAGCUAUACAUAUAGAUAAAGAAACAAAGUUUCAGAGGAAAAAAUUAGGUGCACAUAAUAUCUUAGUUGUCAUGGAGUUUAUUUAACUGAGUGAACAACUAGACAACAAUUAAGACACAAACAGGGCAGCCUGCUUCUCCCUCUGCCUGUGUCUUUGCCUCUCUCUCUCUCUCUCCCUCUCUUUCUGUCUCUCAUGAAUGACUUUUGCUGCUCAAAGAAGGAAAAGACCCACACUCAUCCUCAAGGUUGCAGAGUUUCAAGUACUGGUGAAAGAAAACUUCUCUGACCUUUAUUCCCCAAAUAUUUUAUUAUUCUUUCCCUUAUGACGUCUCUGUUUCUAGUACAUAUUUUGAUUAUAUCAGCUGUUCCCCAACAUUAUAUAUUUCUUAAAAAUUGAAUGCCUGUCUUCCUUACCAUGCCAUAAGCAGCUUGGAAGCUGGCACUGAAUCUGAAUUAACAUUGCCAGGGAUAUGAUGGAAUUGGCAUGUAUAAGCACAGGAAAACUGAGUGUUCAUAAGAAUUUUGUGAUCCAUUUGCUUGAAAUAAUCUGUAGUGGGAGUAGUUACACCACACAAAUUGGCAAAUACUACAAGUUAGAACCAUUUUUGUCAUUGUUGUUUUCUAGAGUUUCAGUUUACCACAUAGCAAUAACCAUAUUUCCUAGGUCUUGCUCAUUAUGGCAAACAGGAAGAUGUUCAGAAAUGUUUGUUGGAUAAUAAAGCAAAUGAUUAUAACAGAUCUAAAGUACUACAUCCAAGUUCUUAAUGAUUUAAGUCAAAUAAAGUUAGUGAAAAAUAUAAGAAUAAUUAGUAGAAAAUUAAGUGAGUAGAGAAACCUCUAUGGGCUCUGUGGGUUUUGAAAAAGGAUUUUAAAUGUUCAGAGAGUAUAUAAAGUGAUAAUUAUAGAAGACAUUGUGGUAGAUAAAAAUUCUAUUUGAGAAUCAGUUUUCAUAUAAAUUUAAGAAUUUUACAAAGAUUAAAUAUUAUAUGUGAAAAUACUUUAUAAAAUGUAUAGCAUAUAUACUGUAGUUGCUCUCAUAGGAUGAAAAAUGGUUGAUGAGGGCUUUAUGUAUGUAUGUAUGUAUGUUUAUAUGUAUGUUAAGAUGUUCUUUACUUCAGAAACAAAUGGUAUAUACUAAGAGUGAGUAAAUUUUAUUGUUUCUGAUGACCAUAUUCUCAUCUAUUUCUUGAAAUUCUUCUUAAUAUAUCAAAGAGGAAAAGACCAAAAAAUCAAAUCUAUUUCCAAAGGCUCAUCUAAUCUAAAGUAUC